rnacentral:piRNA from 1 species
CAGAUUUUGAUACACUGUAUGUU